UUAGGCCAGAUAAUUCUUCACUGUGGGACUGUCCUGUGCACUGUAGGAUGUUUAGUAGCAUCCCUGGCCUCUACCCACUAGAUGCCAGUAGCACCCCCCUCUAGUUGUGACACCAAAAAUACCUCUAGACAUUGCCCAAUGUCCCCUGUGU